GACGAACGCUGGCGGCGUGCUUAACACAUGCAAGUCGAACGGAAAGGCCUCUUUCGGGGGGUACUCGAGUGGCGAACGGGUGAGUAACACGUGAGUAACCUGCCCUUGACUUUGGGAUAACUUCAGGAAACUGGGGCUAAUACCGGAUAGGAGCUCCUGCUGCAUGGUGGGGGUUGGAAAGUUUCGGCGGUUGGGGAUGGACUCGCGGCUUAUCAGCUUGUUGGUGGGGUAGUGGCUUACCAAGGCUUUGACGGGUAGCCGGCCUGAGGGGGUGACCGGCCACAUUGGGACUGAGAUACGGCCCAGACUCCUACGGGAGGCAGCAGUGGGGAAUAUUGCACAAUGGGUGGAAGCCUGAUGCAGCAACGCCGUGUGCGGGAGGACGGCCUUCGGGUUGUAAACCGCUUUCGCUCAUGACGAAGCUUUGUGUGACGGUAGUGGGUAAAGAAGCACCGGCUAACUACGUG
rnacentral:rRNA from 1 species